GAUGCAGAGUGCAGUGCCACUCGUUGCCCCUGGGAGUCUCCUGGGGGGCACUGCAGGUUACUAUGGGACUGACACAGAGUGCAGUGCCGCCUGUUGCCCCUGGGAGUCUCCUGGGGGGCACUGCAGGUUACUAUGGGACUGACACAGGGUGCAGUGCCGCCUGUUGCCCCUGGGAGUCUCCUGGGGGGCACUGCAGGUUACUAUGGGACUGACACAGGAUGCUGUGCCGCCUGUUGCCCCUGGGAGUCUCCUGGGAGGCACUGCAGGUUGCUAUGGGACUGAUGCAGAGUGCAGUACCGCCUGUUGCCCCUGGGGGUCUCCUGGGGAGCGCUGCAGGUUGCUAUGGGACUGAUGCAGAGUGCAGUGCUGCCUGUUGCCCCUGGGGGUCUCCUGGGGAUCGCUGCAGGUUGCUAUGGGAUUGACGCAGAGUGCAGUGCCGCCUGUUGCCCCUGGGGGGCACUGCAGGUUGCUAUGGGACUGACGCAGAGUGCAGUGCCGCCUGUUGCCCCUGAGGGUCUCCUGGUGAAGGCCACUGCAGGCCCCUAUGGGGCUAACUCAGCCCUG